rnacentral:lncRNA from 1 species
GAAGCUACUGGAGCUUAAUACCUAGAAGAAAAACUUGAACUUUUCAAUUCUUUCAAUGUGAUUCCUGGUGAUGCUAAGAAUAUUGGUGUCUGUGUCAUGCCCUGACUUCGGGGAGCAUGCCGGCGCUCAAUCGAGAUAUCCUGGUCAUGCAAGCCUACUUGAUACUUUCUACUCGGCCUUACCCACGAGUAAAGUGAAGACGUAUUCCAUUAAUUAGACAAUGAGAAGAUUACAUGAACAACACCAAUUUCAUUACCAUUAGAACUUCAUUCAUGAUUUCCCAAAAUAUUUUACACAUUCGUAGCUUUAGAAGUGGAACAAGUGUUUCAAGUUGAUUUAUGCAAUCCAAGAUACAAACCCACACUAUGUCUACGGAGCCUCUAAUGGAUACAAAAGAGUAAUAUGAUGGUGUCGUUAACAAAGCUCCGGCUAUAUCUCAAAACCCUGUACAUAAGGAGCAAAAGGUUCAAGAUCCCGAUAUGAAAUCGGGCUCACCAAGUCAGCUGAGAAGAGGGUGUACCGCUAUCGCUGAUGGAUGCCGCAUGUUGUGGAACCACCUACAUCCAUUAAAGAUGCAGCGCCCCCGGCAAAAAAGGACGUUAGUACAUAUGGAAGAGUACUACUAUGUAAGACUAAAUACCCUUUCAAUGAAUCAAGAAACAAUACCAGGAGAAAGAAACAUUCAAUCAAAGAGGGCCUCAAAUAAUAUUAAAGCAUCAAGUUAAGAGAAAUAUAAUUUUCCAAGUAAAUAUCAUUAUUUUUAAGUCGGGAGAUCUUUAGCACCGAUAUGGCACAGUAUUUUUUUUUGCAUGUAGUCCGAUCACGGCUCGAUCGGCUAAGCCGUCUCACCCAAAGACAUCCAAUCACAAUAUCAUUGUGCUAUUUAGCACAGAGUUCGAUCUCAGCCCGAUCGGUUAAGCCGUCUCACCACAAGACAUCCAACUACAAUACCACAAUGUACGCAGCAUGGCAUCCGAUCUCGACCCGAUCGGCUAGGUUGUCUCCCCAUAUGUGUCGUGUGAGUCGACAUCCAAUCCAAGGUUAGCAACAAUCUCAUCCCAAUCAAGGGAAAUAAUUUCAUCACAUUAAUAUGGGUAUUUACCUCUCAAUCACACCUACACCGGCACGUGUAGUUUCAGGGUUAGGUUGUUUCAACCUACCCUUCCUCGGCGACUAAUGAUACUCCCAAAUCAUUUAUUAUAUAAAGAACUUACAGCUAAUUUCAUAAUCUCUCCCACAUUCUUUUCAUUUUAUUUGCACUAUUAGCCACAAGUGUAAUUUCUAUUUUUGGCACGAUGGCCAUAUUUUAUAUCUCAUAGAUUAUCAAUAAUAAGGGCAUUUGUAAUCAAUACUUUAAACAUGUAUAUGAGCAAUAGAAGUCUUAAACACACUGAGUUUUCCUUCCAAGAAUAAGGCAUAAUAAAUCUUGCAUUUGAAACAUGGAUUGAAGUCAUAGCAUUACGAUGCAUAAACCAUACUUGAAUACAUUUCUGAAGGAGAGCAUAAUACGAUAGGAGUAAUUGAAACACAUUUUGAGCACAUAUUUCUCGACACAAUGCUUAUCUGGAAUAACUGAGUGUCUUAGGAAUAACUCGAAAUAAGAGGAGUAGGGACUUGGACAAGUCACGCUUGAAACUUACAAGAACAUCAUGGAAUUCGAUUCUAUGAGAGAAGUUUAGUCAACAUACCUUGCUUGAUCUUUCCUUAAUUUACUACGAGGUUCCAGAAAUCCUAGAGACUUCAAUAUAUUAGAUAUAUGACAAAGCUGAACCAUAAUCAGGAAGUGGUUUUAAGAGUUCAACCCUUUUAGACAUUUUAUUAAACACUAGGUGUGCAAUAUGAUUUCAAGGUUCUUUUAUGGUGGACUUCCUUCAUCCCACAAUCCAAUGUUCACCCAUUUGAGUUCAACAACCUCCCCACAACCUUUGCUGGUAUAUGCAAGCAAAAGGGACAACUCCCACACCCAAGAAUCACACUUCUCAUUACCUACUUUCAGUCCUAAUCCCGAAAUUGAGGGCUAGGGAGUAGAAUCUUACCUCUUAGAUGAAGACGUUGUGAGUUUUCCUUAUUGAAUUUCAAGGCUUGAGCAAGGAUUUGAUGUAUGGAGAUGUUAGUGCCCUUCCUUCUCUCUCUAGCUCCCUUUCCCUCUCUCUAAACGCCAUAUUUUUGCCAUCUAAACGAGCCCCAAUAGCAUUUAAUCAAAAUGGGUCGGUUUAUAAAAAUAAAAAAUGGACCUCCGAACUCAACUCUGCGGUCAUAGAAUGCACCGCAGAUCAGGUCUGCGGCCCACAAAAUGGACCGGAGAAAGGGUCCCAAAAACUAGGCUGGCCUGCACAAGUCUGCGGGCUUUCUGCAGCCCAUAAAACAGUUAUGUGGUCGCAUAAUGUAUCGCAGAAUUUUUCUUCCAAAAUUUCUCAUGCUAGAUAUGUGAUAAAUGUGCAACCCGCGAAAUGAUUCUGCGGCCGCAUAACUGACCGCAAAAUAUCCUUCAAAAUUUGGCUCUGGUUCUGUUGCAUUAUGCGGCCGAUCUGCGGUCUGCGAAGUGAUUCUGCGAUCGCAUAAUGGACCGCAUAAAUGACAUGUUCAGCAAAACUUCUUCUUCCAACUUCCCAAUGCAUUGCAUCACCCAAAAAGUCCAUACAUUAGCCUCAAACACAUUAGCCUACCUCGGCAACACAAAACCUCGAGUUAUGGGUAAACCUUUAUGGCUCUUACUGUUUGUUAGGUAGAAAUAUUGUAUGCCCUAUUUAUAGUUGCAUUCAAGCCACUUAGGGUUUCGAUUGAGUUUGAACAGAUAGUGGAGAGUGAUAAUAAAAUGGAUGACGAUAGUAAGAAAGUGAAAUCAGAGGGAAAAGAGGGGAAAACAGUAUAAGUUUUACCUGAGUACUAGGAGGUUGAUCGUUGAAGCUUUUGGUCUAUUGUUCAAGCCCUAAUGUCCAGAGGUCAUUGCGUUUGACCUCUAGACAACGAAUAAUGAUGAUGAAGGGGGAUAAUAACAAUGCAUGCUCCGAUUCGAAGAAACAAAGGAAGGACAGAUGAAAUUCCAGGUUUCACCUCUAUGUCUAAGUCUUCUGGGUUAGAGAUUCAAAUUAGGGUAAUGAAAGGGAAAGUUUAUGUAGGAUUUGUGGUUAAGCAGGGACAGAAAGGAUGAUUAGGGUUCAGGGGUGGUCUCUGAAUUAAAAGUGGGAGAUGGAAUCUGGGUCGUUGGGUCGUUUGAGCAAUGACCCUGAUAAUUCAAGGCAUAAGAAUUUAAUGAAAUAUUUUUAUUAUAAAAAGAGACGGUCGUUGGAUCCCUAUAAUCAACGACCGAGAUGAGGUCUCAGCAAAAUUAAGGAAAAGAGAAAAAUAGAGAUUAACCACGGACCGUUGAUGAGUUCAAUCAACGGUCCGAAUCUAUUUGUGUUUUCUCUGUGAGCGAGGAAGACGGGUGAUGUGGCAUGCUUUGAUUGGCUUAGAGAGAUUGGCAUGAAUAUUCAUCUUGGAUAGAGGGGGUUGGUUCCGGACUGAUACUGGUCUUGUAUUUUAGGCUAAAUUAGCUGAAAUAAAAUGUAAUUCAUAGCCACAUUGAAUUUAGUUAAUUAAUUACAAUUAUAGCCUUUUUAGUUUUUAACCCCUUUAAAGAUUAAGUUAAUUAGACUUAAUUAAUUCUAAUUGAAUAUAAUAAAAUAUAAUCAUCAAAUAUAUUAUAAAUUAUUGUGAGUAAUUAUUUAAACACCUCAUUUAUCAAAUUAUGACACUAAUUUUUUUAUUAAUUUGAGUAAUAAAGCGAUAUGAUUAUAAAGGGAGGAUAAAAUAAUUGCGAGUAUCAUCAUUGCAAGUAUCAUCCUUUUCCCCGAUUGCCCUGGGUUGUCGGGUAUUGCUAGAGCAUUUUUGGUCGGGUCUUCGAUUGCAGACAUCUUUCCCUUGGAUCUCAGAUUGUACGGUGGCUUAGCCAGUUUUACGUAUCAACACAAACAAACCUCUGAUUUUAGGAAUAAAAUUAAAUAAUAAAGCGAGAAAAUAAGGAAAAGUAGAAGUUAGUUUCAGAGAUUGCACAAAUAUAAGCACAUAGAGCAAUUAAUUCAAGUAUUUAGAUAAGCGUGUCUCCUAAGAUACGACAAACCUCUCUUUGCCAGAGGUAAACCAAUGUCGCGAAUGUUUGAUGAACAAUCAGAUUCUGACACAUUUUGAUCCGGAGCAACCUUUAGUUUUUAUUGAUAGGCUUUGGAUUACAGUAAGACGGGAGUCGUGGUUACAACAUUAUUUUCAAAGUUAACAAAGAUUACAUGGGUUCAUAGGUUUGCCCUUAGGGAAAUGAAAAAAAGGGUACAAGAUAAAGGGAAAUAACCCAGCAACUUAAUAAUUGUCCCCGGAGUCACUUCCCAAGAUUUCUUCUUCAGAUUCCUCUUCAGGGUCUUCUUCAACUUCCUCUUCCUCCUCGUCAUUGUUGUACUCUGGUUCCUCCUCAGGAUCCACCUCUGGCUCUAUUUUUUUACUCAAUCCAUAUGUAUUCAAUUACUUGCUUAAUCCUCCAGUCUGGUCAAUACCUCUCUGCUAGGUCUGGCCAACUAAUCCUUCUCUUGAUACACACGAAAUACUCAGGUGUGCACCAGAGAUUUUGCCCUAUUGGAAUCAUGAUCAUGUCGUUCCAUUCAUAAUGGAGCCUCCUCACCCUCGGGAUUGGAAUUUGUCGGUUGUAAUCAUCUUCAUAAAAAGUUUUCCUUAACCAGCGGGGCACGUAUUGAAUUAGAAAAAAUUGCCUUAGAAUCCUCAGAGGUAAGUACAGCUAAAUUUCUUCAAGUCCCACUAACUCGAUGAAGUACUUUCUCUGGCUUCUCAAGAUUGCCCUGCCACUUAACCAUGAAUAUUUCCAAUUCACGAACUAUCCGCUCAGACGGGUCAGUAUCUCUUGCCACUCCUCUUGCCCAUGCGGUGUAACCAGUGUCUCAUCCUUUUGUUAUGGCUCUUGAUCAUGUUACUGGGGCCAACAAAAUAUUCGACGGUUGUCUCCAUCUAAAAGAAAUAUUUUGUGGCCCACAUCUGGAGUAGUAAGUUACAGCCUUUGAAAAAAUAAUAUCCUCUAGAGCAUGCUGACAGUGCUCGAAAUGUCUCUGCCAAUAUCAUAUGAAUGAGGGUUACUUGCAGAUUCCCUCGAAAGUUUGCCAAGACUAGGGGCAGCAAGUUCACGUUGAUUCGCCCUUUUCUUUGCGGGAAAACUAGCAAUCCCAAUAUUGCUAGAGAAAAGGUUAGAGGGUGGAGGCUCUCCCAUGCUGCUUGAUCACAUUGGAAUUUUUUAAGAUGCCACUCAUAGCUCUCUCGGUGUCCGAACCUGUCGAAUAGUUGGUCCAUACUCACCCAUCGAUCUUUGAUGUUUCUUAGAUUCUUAUUGUUUGUCAGACCCAAUGCAUGGAGGAACCUGUGAUCAGGCAUGGCAACUGGCAGUAUUGGUUUUUGUCCGGCAAAUGAUAACUCCGUGAAGCUAGUGAUCUCCUCCAGUGUUGGUACCAACUCCUAAUCGACAAACUUGAAAACAACCAUAGAUGGGUCCGAAAAAUGUAUUAGCAGUCUAGUAAGGACUUUGUCAGCUCGGAUGUUCAUCAAGGUGGUUAGUUUUCCCAGGUGUGUUCUAAUCUCGUCCAUGUGCUCCCAUCGAAUGUUUCUCUACUACUGCUUCAGCUUGUGUGGUGCACCCAUGACCAUGUUAAUCUCCGGGACAUUGCGGUUGAUUUCUAUCUAAAGAGGUGAAAACUUUUGGUAAGUGUUUGCUUCGGAUCUUUAGCGUCUUAUCUGAAUUGGUUCAUCGUUUUACAAAAGACAUGUCGUUGGGUACAUGAAUCGUUGACAUUACUGUAGCUUUCAUAAUCGUGAGUCAAUACUAAGGAUCAACUUAUCUAAAGUUUAUGCAGCAUGACCUACGUUUGCUAGAGUAGAGUGUUUCCUAAUUUUAAUGUUGGACUGAAUAACUGCGAGAUAUUAUGUCAGUUGACUUGACAAAUCCGUUCUCUGAAAGUAGAAAAUUUUAAAAGAAAGUUGGGAGGGGUGUAAAAGGCAACCCUCGCGUGUCAUUUGUGUGUGAUUGUGUAUGGCCAAGACUCAAUAGGAAAAAUAUAAUGAUAGUGUAUAAAGCAGUAACAAAUAAUGGUGAUAGCAACAAUAGGCAAGUAAGUACAUGUUUGACAGGUCAUAGAAAUACAAACAAGUAAGACAAGUAAACACAUAUUUUUCAAAAUUAAGCACAGUAAAAGAAUAAUAUAAACAAACAUCCCCAAAUUUCGGGUCUAGCCUAAAUCUGCUAAGGUUAUAACCUAAGUGUAAAGAUCCCCAUCAGCGUCGUCAUGUUAUUGCACCUUAUUUUGCACACGUCUAAACAAAGUAUAACUAGUGGUUCUUCUGAUAUUGAUAAAAGAGAGUUCCCACCUAAUAUUUAAGAUAUAUUAGGAUACUUAUAUUUUUGUAAGAUUAUUAUCCUAAUGGUCUGCUAACCGGUGAGAUUUGGGUUCGGGUUCUAGUUAUUCUAAAGGGAAGGUGUUAGGCAUCCCUUUAAAUCUACCUGAGGUCGCUCCUUAAACUUUGGCUAGGUUCGAGGAAAGAAAUACCUUUAUUCUAGUUAAUUAAUGGCUAAAGUUACAAAGUAAGAUUUAUAAAAACAUCUAAGUCUUCUUUGAAAACGCAUUGUAUUGAAAAAGGUUAUGUAUUUCUUUUGAAAAGAAUGACAUUCGUUCGUGAGACUUAAUGAAUAAGAGAUUACUAAAAUAUGCUUUAAUUGAAAACAAUUAUACCUCAUCUUGUUGAAAUGCCAUAUGUUUCAAGCUUAUUUGUAAGAAUGGUUGUGCGUGGUUGCUUUUAUUAUUUUUUAGAGCAAUGGUUGUGUUUUACGUGACCCGUAUGAUGAUAUUCCAAAACAUAAUUGGUUAUCGUUUUGAACCUGCAAUAACUGAAAUUGUUAGUGGAAAAACAUAAGUAAACGAUUUAUUCAUUGAAAGAUUAGUUUAAAUUAUUAAAGCUCAAAUGUAUUAGAGUAAUGAAAAAAAAGGCAAGUCUAUAAUCCUAUGUCGUCUUUUUUACCUGUAAGACUUGGUUGGCCUACGUCUCCUAAACAAUCAAAACAUCAAACAAUAUUCAAUAGCAAUGUUAGCUUCAAAAUAUAUACAAAGAAUAACUGAAAAAGAUAAUAUUUACCAUUUAAAAAUGUGAGAGGGAGGAAAGGGCUGGACUCUUAAUAUUGUGCAAAUGGAUAGUCAGGCCCUGAAGAUUUUCACACGAGUAGCAGACUCCAGGAAAAGCAACCAAGGCUGGAGCUUGGGCUUAAGUUUAAAGAACUCAGAAGUCCUAGUUCAAAUAUGCACACGAAUGAAAUAAGAAGAUAAUUUUUGGAAAUCAAUAUAAUGCAUAACAAUAAUAAAUCACGAGUGAUAAUAAAGCUACAGAAUAUAUUAAAUCCAAUCUCAUUUGUGUUAAUCCUAUGAGGAUUAAAAAGAGUCAAUGAACAAAGGCUUAGAUUAAAACCUUAUUCAUGGAUAAAAUCCCCCUUUGGACCCUUGGUACUUUAGAGUUCAUAACGGUCUCAUAGACCCCGAGUAGUGCUUGUGUCAGGGAAGGGUAUCUUAACCACAUACCAGGUUUCACACCCAAAUACCCUUAACCGCCCACGCUUACUCUUUCUCAAAUGUUUAGACAUAAAUGAGGUGUCAACUUAGUAGUUAACAUGGAAGCAUCAGUGGACACAAAGAUUCAGGAACACAGAACAUCAACAAAAACUAUAGAGAAUAUCAUCACUAGAUUGCAAGCAUUUGCAAAGUUCAGAACUAAUCACAAUAUUGACUUUAGGAUCUUUUAUCAGAACCCUAAAUAAAAAGGCAAGUUACUGCAAGUAGACUUAUAUGGUCCAGUAAUAUCAAUGACCUUAAGGUUGAUUAUAGCAUGCAUCAAGACACUUAGGAAGGUUAUCACUCAUAUAUAAAAAUAAAGAGAGUUAGUGGUAAAUGAAUUGGUAAUUGAUAGGGAAAGACAUAUGUAUUAGUUUUAUUAGUUCUACUGAGGGUUCAACAUUUUAGGAUCCUUAACUAGGUUUAUAGCACUUCAACUAAAAUUUCAGUAAUCUCUAGAACAGUGUAAGGUAAGCAUAUACAUGGACGAGACCUUACUUCACCAAACACCUGUACUGACAGCCUUGUUCAGGCUUCCCAAAGAUAACAACAACCAGCAGAGAUAAUAAUGUAAGUGGGAAGGUCAUUUUUAGUCUAGUUCAAACCUACUAGCAUGAUAUCUAGUCGUAGUUUGUCAUGUUUCCAAACAAUUUCAGAUUCUUGAGUAAAUUCUUAUAGACAAGGAUAUCAAUCAAAUAUGAGACAGUGGAUGGGGAUAUUCAUUCUCAGUGGGUGAGAGAAGACAAACAUGUCUUGGUGAAUUUACUUAAACAUGUGAGUGACCAGGUUACACUAGUAAACAUCCCAUUUUAGAUCCUAUGUUCAACAUUGUUCACUCAAGUUGCUAAAUUAUUAAGGCAGACAUGAUUCAAACUAUCAAGAGAAGAUUUCAGCAAAGGACAUAGUAAAUUCAGCAUGAAACUUUCUCAACUAAAGAGCAGGUAAAGGUUCAUGGGCAUUACUAGACUAGCAGAAGUAUGAUGAACAUAAGCACGUGCAUGUAGGUAAAUAAGAUUCAGUCAGCCAACAUACAAUAUGGUUUCUAUAGAGUUUCAUGGUCAUAAAAUAAUCACAGAUCAAGUGAGCAGAUGAUGUGAUGACUGCAUUGAUAUGUUAAUCAUAUGAGUUCAAACUAUAAUAAUAGACUUGCAUGAACUCUUAAGUGCACAUAACAAACAUAGUUUCAACAAGAAAAAUAUUCAAUUAAGGUCAUCAAAGCAAAAUAAUUAAAUGAAUGUCAUGAACUGUGAUGAUAAUCAUUUUUAUUGAAUCAAAAUCCGGUGGCAUAAUAUUACAAAUGUAAGGAUCAAUAUUGCUCAGUGCAGCAAACAGGACAUUAGGAGAGGGUUAAGAGCAUAGCUCAAUUAGGUUAGCGAAACAUGAUAGUAUAGCUAUCAUUUAACUGAUAGAGGUAGAGCAUACAUAGGAUUAACAUAAGGCUUAGUUCAACCAAUCAUAAAAGGUUCAACAUGAUUUGCUCAGAAGAGUAUCAACAUCAUUAAAACAUUUUAUUUGGCUAAGUUUUGGGAGAUAGAAUAUCAUUAACAACAUGGUUUAGAUAGCAGUAUCCGAACAUCAUAAUUUAUCAGGAAAUUACCAACUCGACUAUGAAAAUGGCAUACAACAAAAAUAAUAUAACAAGUAUAGUCAUGUACAACUGAUGUAUAUCGUAAAAAAAAGGUGAUUAACAGGAAAACAUCAUAAAAUUUUACAAUUAAAAGAUAGAGACAAUGUCAUUAUACACUGACCUUCUACAGAGCAGCAAACCAAGAAAGAGUUGAUUCUUAGCAAUUUAGAGUCCAAACCAAAUACGAAUUAUGUACAGAAAUGGAACUCGAGCAAAAAUGAAAAGAUGAAAAGAUAAAUUAGUGAGAAGCUACUGGAACUUAAUAAUUAGAAGAAAAACUUAAACUUUUUAAUUCUUUCAAUGUGUUUGCUGGUGAUGUUAAGUGUAUUGGUGUCUUGAAUACCCUAUUUAUAGUGGCAUCCAAGCAACUUAGGGUUUCAAUUGAGUUCGAACGGAUAGUGAAGAGUGACGAUAGGAUGGAUGACGAUACUAAGCAAGUGAAAUCAGAGGGUAAAGGGGGGAAAAUAGUAUAAGUUUUACCUGAGCACGAGGAGGUCGACAAUUAAAGCUUUUGGUCCAUCAGUCAUGCCUUAAUGUCUAGAGGUCGCUGCGUUUGACCUCUGGACAAUGAAUAAUGAAGCUGAAGCUGAAGAUAAUAACCAGGCAUGCUCUAAUUCGACGAAACAAAGGAAGGAUAUAUGAAUUCCCAGGCUUCACCUUUAGGUCUAGGGCUUCUGGGUUAGAGAUUCAAAUUAGGGUAACGAAAGGGGAAAGUUCAGGUGGGAUUCACGGUUCAGUAGGGACAAAAAUGAUGAUUUGAGGUCGGAUUUGUGAUCUUGCACAAAUUUGUGCCAGUUUUUAGGACUGAUAGGGGUGAUGGGAAUGAGAUAAAGGAGACAAGAAAGGGAAAUUAGGGUGGCCGUUUG